CUACGGGCGGCUGCAGUGGGGAAUAUUGGGCAAUGGGCGCAAGCCUGACCCAGCAACGCCGCGUGAGGGAAGAAGGUUUUCGGAUUGUAAACCUCUGUCCUUGGGGACGAAGAAGUGACGGUACCCAAGGAGGAAGCUCCGGCUAACUACGUGCCAGCAGCCGCGGUAAUACGUAGGGAGCAAGCGUUGUCCGGAAUUACUGGGCGUAAAGGGUGCGUAGGCGGCAUAUUAAGUCAGGUGUGAAAUACUCGGGCUCAACCCGGGGGCUGCAUUUGAAACUGAUAUGCUUGAGUGUGAGAGAGGAAAGUGGAAUUCCUAGUGUAGCGGUGGAAUGCGUAGAUAUUAGGAGGAACACCAGCGGCGAAGGCGACUUUCUGGCUCAUAACUGACGCUGAGGCACGAAAGCGUGGGGAGCAAACAGGAUUAGAUACCCUCGUAGUC
rnacentral:rRNA from 1 species